rnacentral:rRNA from 1 species
AGAGUUUGAUCAUGGCUCAGGACGAACGCUGGCGGCGUGGAUUAGGCAUGCAAGUCGAACGGUAUGGACCUUUCGGGGUUCAGAGAGUGGCGAACGGGUGAGUAACACGUAGGUAAUCUACCCUCAAGACGGGGACAACCCAGGGAAACUUGGGCUAAUACCGGAUGUGUGUAGUGGCUAUUUUUCUGAUUAUCAUUAUUUACGUAAGUGAGUAAUAAUAAGAAGGGAAAGUGGUUAUUACAUAAAAGGUGGCGUAAGCUGCCGCUUGGGGAUGAGCCUGCGUCCUAUUAGUUAGUUGGUGAGGUAACGGCUUACCAAGGCGAUGAUAGGUAGGCGGCCUUAACGGGUGGUCGCCCACACUGGGAUUGAGAUACGGCCCAGACUCCUACGGGAGGCAGCAGUCGAGAAUAGUCUACAAUGGACGGAAGUCUGAUAGUGCGACGCCGCGUGAACGAAGAAUCCCUUCGGGGUGUAAAGUUCUUUUAUACGUGAGCAGUGUCCUUUAUAUUAAUAGUAUAAGGGGAGAGAUAUUAGCGUAUGAAUAAGCAACGGCUAACUCCGUGCCAGCAGCCGCGGUAACACGGGGGUUGCGAGCGUUGUCCGGAAUUACUAGGCGUAAAGUGCAGGUAGGCGGAUAAAUAAGUUUAAGGUUAAAGGCUACGGCUUACCCGUAGUAAGGCGUUAGAUACUGUUUAUCUGGAAUGCGGUUGAGGGAGACAGAAUUCCUGGUGUAGCGGUGGAAUGCGCAGAGAUCAGGAGGGAUACCGAAGGCGAAGGCAGUCUUCUAAGCCGAUAUUGACGCUAA